rnacentral:rRNA from 1 species
GACGUAGGGUGCGAGCGUUGUCCGGAUUUAUUGGGCGUAAAGAGCUCGUAGGCGGCUCGUCGCGUCGACCGUGAAAACCCGCGGCUUAACUGCGGGCUUGCGGUUGAUACGGGCGGGCUAGAGUUCGGUAGGGGAGACUGGAAUUCUUGGUGUAGCGGUGAAAUGCGCAGAUAUCAGGAGGAACACCGGUGGCGAAGGCGGGUCUCUGGGCCGAUACUGACGCUGAGGAGCGAAAGCGUGGGGAGCGAACAGG